AUACUAAAGGUCACUAUGUGGGUUGCAGAAGCAGACUGAUCCAGUGGCUCUACCAUGACCUGUGUCUGUAUGAUAUGUACCCAGAUAAACUGUAUGAGAAGGCUGCAAAGUGCCUUGUGGAUAUGUUCCCCACGCUUGCAGACACCACAGGAAGUGGACAUGACUCCUGGCGCCUCGCACUUCGCUUCAAGGCGAAGCGUGAACG